CGACCUCCAUUUGCUGAGGACAAAUAAAAUGGACGUGGGUGUCGACUCCGCCGGCUGUCAAAAUUUUUCCUUCACCGGAGAUGACUUCUGUUCCGGCUCCUAUGAUCAUAUGUGGAUCUACUUGAUCCAUGAUGUCCGGAUUUCCGCUUUUUCCGAUUCCUGCGAUUCGGCCGUCUUUGAUGCCGAUAUCGGCUUUCACGAUUCCCGUAUAAUCAAGUACGACAACGUUUGUGAUCACAAGAUCAAGUGCGCCGUCUUUUGCGGUGAUUCGGCCAUUUUGUCCCAUACCGUCACGAAUCG
rfam:Bacillus glycinifermentans strain GO-13 contig_5, whole genome shotgun sequence.